UACAGAGGUCCCAAGCGUUGUUCGGAUUCACUGGGCGUAAAGGGUGCGUAGGUGGUUAGGUAAGUCCGAUGUGAAAUCUCCAGGCUCAACCUGGAAAUGGCAUUGGAUACUAUUUAGCUUGAGGAGUGGAGGGGGAGCUGGAAUUCUCGGUGUAGCAGUGAAAUGCGUAGAUAUCGAGAGGAACACCAGUGGCGAAGGCGAGUCCCUGGACACUUCCUGACACUGAGGCACGAAAGCUAGGGGAGCAAACAGG
rnacentral:rRNA from 1 species